AAGUCGUAACAAGGUUUCCGUAGGUGAACCUGCGGAAGGAUCAUUAAAGAGAAAAGGGCGUUCGGUCCCGUGACCUCAACCCCUUUGUUUACCUUACCACUGUUGCCUCGGCUGGGUCGGUCGGACGCCCCUUUACGGGGCGCCGCCGUCGGCCUUCAAACGCUUUCGAGUGCCCGCCGCCAGGCCCAAUCUAAAAUUCUUUGUAAACCCAGUACUUUCUGAGAGCAAAUUUAAUACUUCAAAA
rnacentral:misc_RNA from 1 species